UUUUAGGGUUGAUUAAGGGUUAAGGUUAGGGUUAGGUGUAGGGUUCAAUUCUAUGGUUGAUUAAGGGUUAAGGUUAGGGUUAGGUGUAGGGUUAGAUUUUAUGGUUGAUUAAGGGUUAAGGUUAGGUGUAGGGUUAGAUUUUAGGGUUGAUUAAGGGUUAAGGUUAGGGUUAGGUGUAGGGUUAGAUUUUAGGGUUGAUUAAGGGUUAAGGUUAGGGUUAGGUGUAGGGUUCAAUUUUAUGGUUGAUUAAGGGUUAAGGUUAGGGUUAGGUGUAGGGUUAGAUUUUAGGGUUGAUUAAGGGUUAAGGUUAGGGUUAGGUGUAGGGUUAGAU